UUUUUCCCGUUUUGGGUUCAUGUUCUAUCCCCCAUCCUCCUCAAUUUUUAGUGACUACAUCGAUGGCAAACGAAUAGGUGUUGCAGAAAACAGAAUCAAGCCUAAAUUAAAAAUGGAAACUUCCACCAAAGUUUAAACAACAGAGUAGGAUAUUUUGAGAGAGGAUAAAGGAAAUAACUAUGAGCUGACUGUAGUGUGUCUGGACAGGUAGGGACCAAUGAUGCUAGCGGUUAAGGGGGAGGAUAAGAAAAUGGCAUCAUCCAUAGGAAUCUAUGCCAUAUUGUUUGUCCUUACAAACUUUGUAAACAAGUAUGUUCUCUCAGUUCUGGAAUUCAAAUACCCAACUUUAUUUCAAGGAUGGCAGACUCUGGUUGGAUUCAUUGUGCUCCGUCUUCUAGUCAUUACAAAACAUGUCCCAGCAAUGCUGACAGAAACUCAAAGGUCGGACUGGGUUCGGUGGAUACCAGGCAUGAUGUUGUUUGCCGGCUCAGUUUACUCGGGUUCUAAAGGUCUGGCUAACCUGUAUAUUGGAUCAUGUUUCAGCCAGUACCUGUGUUCUUUGCUCUCCAGAACUUAUCCUCAGUCAUUGUGUGUGGGGUCCAGAUGAUCAUUACUCAAACACUCACAAGCUUUUUCACCUACUGUAUGAUGAUGUUGACAGUCAUAUCUUCUGUGGUCAUCAUUCACAGUGAUCCUCAGUUUAACCAACAAGGAUAUAUAUGGGUUGGAUUACACAUUGUAUUUACGGGGGGGCUACAAAUUUAUUCAAAGUUGUCAACAGGGAGAUUGCAAGCUAGUUCUUUAGAAAAGCUAUAUUGCAAUUAUAUUUACUGCAUAAUUUUGUUUGCACCGUCCAGUUAUUUGAUUGGUGAUGCACUGGAAGCAGCCAGCUUUCCUUAUCUGUAUUUUUCAAAGUUCUGGUUUGGCUGCAUUCUAAGUGGUGUGUUUGGUGUUUUAUUAAGUUUACAUUCCAUAAACUUACAAGAAAAAGAAUUGGGACCAGUAAAUUUUGCCAAAGUUCAAGGCUGCUCAAAGAUUUUAGCUUCCUUCUUGUCAUAUUUGGUGUUCAGUGACUUCUAUACAGCAAACUUUGCAAUGUGGAUUUUAAUAAAUUUGUUGGCUGGACUCAGUGUAGAAGAUUCUCAGCUGUGUACAACUGACAAAGAGGAUUCUGAAGAUUCCAGCCAUUACAACGGUACCGGUACAUUUCCGCCAACAAGUCGACAUAAUGUUCUCUUUGAGGAUUACAUUAAGGAUGAUAAAGAUUACAUUGAUGAUUUUACAGGACCAGACGACCUUUGAGAUUCAGAUGAACUUUUUAUUAUCUGUACAACCAUUACAAUUUUGUUAAAACUACUGUUGUCUUAUUUAUUCUGUUGUAACAUUGUUAUUCAUUAGAAUAAGUAUGUAUGUGCAAUAUUAAAUCAUGGAUUUGUAGAAAAAUACAUUUAUGUUAUUCUUUGAAUAAAGGAUUUAAUUUAUACGUACAC
rnacentral:misc_RNA from 1 species